AAAUGGAGGCGGCCAGUUUCACUUCUGCUUCAUCAACGACGACACCGUUUUCAUCUUAUUCCUCCACUUCUCAAUCUCUUCGUUUCCUGCGUUACAAGCCUAAUGCGAAACCUCUGAACUACAAAUCUUCCAGAAGCUUCUCAGCCCGCGCUUCCGCCACCAGUGCCGAUGAUUCUGUGGUAACUCUACUUGAUUAUGGUGCUGGCAAUGUGCGGAGUGUCAGGAAUGCAAUUAAAUAUCUCGGUUUCGACAUCAAAGAUGUCCAAACACCACAGGACAUUUUGAAAGCAAAACGACUCAUUUUUCCUGGGGUUGGUGCUUUUGCUCCUGCCAUGGAUGUGCUAAACAAGAAGGGAAUGGCUGAAGCACUUUGUGCUUACAUUGAGCAAGAUCGCCCAUUCCUAGGCAUUUGUCUUGGACUGCAGCUACUUUUUGAGUCAAGUGAAGAAAAUGGACAAGUAAAGGGUCUUGGUUUGAUUCCUGGAGUAGUUGGACGUUUUGACUCUUCUAAAGGGAUCAGAGUACCUCACAUUGGCUGGAAUGCACUUGAAAUAGCAAAAGAUACUCAAAUUUUGGAUGACGUUGGAAAUUCACAUGUCUAUUUCGUACAUUCUUAUCGGGCAAUGCCGUCAGAUGAAAAUAGAGAGUGGAUAUCAUCGACCUGCAAGUAUGGUGACGAUUUCAUAGCAUCCAUUCAGAGAGGAAAUGUCCAUGCCGUUCAGUUUCAUCCUGAGAAGAGCGGUGAUGUUGGCCUUUCUGUAUUGAGGAGGUUCUUGAAUCCAAAAUCCGGGAGAACGCAGAAGCUGGUCCAAGGGAAUGCCUCUAAACUUGCAAAGCGGGUUAUUGCAUGUCUUGAUGUGAGGACAAAUGAU
rnacentral:misc_RNA from 1 species